AUUUUGUAAGCGCCCUGCCUAAGAGUGUGGCAUGGACUUCAGCUGGAUUAAAUGUGUAUUACCCGGGAGGAACUGUAAAGAACCAGUCAGACAGCCCGCCCGCCGAGCUGCCCACCGGCCGAGCUGUACUUUGUGUAUGCCAACAUGCCGACAUGCUGUAAUUUGUUAGUACUUCAAGAUCAUAAUUGUAUCCAAACUGAAGAAUAAUUUAACGAGCCUGGUUGCUGUAGCCACAGGGGAAUUUUCAUGGACAAGAACCAGUGCUGGUAAAAAUGUGGUCUCAUGUGGUUUUCCAUACCGGCAUUCAGCAAGGAUUUCAGAGAAAGGAAUACUGUCUCCAAUAUGUGUUGCAUAUAGCCUGCAGAUGAACUAUAUGAGUUUUGAAGUCUGUUUCCCCUUCUAUCAUGCAAUGAAUAUUAAUGACUAUGUAUGUGGUACAUGUACUUUCAAAAAACUGAAGCCUUCAGGAAGUCAAUGCCACCAUGGUAUUGAUUUAUUCAGCUCUGAUGUACUCAGCUGUGAUGUAACAUGCCUUCAAGCAGCCACUAUCCGAAGAACAUUCAGACGUUCUAAAUGGACCAUUGCCCUGUUGCCAUGGAAAUCAUUAUGAGGAGAGCACACAAACUGUCACUUGUUUUGGAUAUCAGAUGUAUCACGAACUGACCAUAAACUUUUCAGAUGCUCUGUUUAUUUCAUCAGCCAAUUUCGAUGUAAAUUUUACUGAAUAAUGACAAACAGUCUUAAUCAUAAGCAUCCCUUACUCAUUUCUGCAAUGUCCACAUUUUUUUGUACCAGUUGUUGCUUUAUACUGAAACCUUUAUUGAAAAUGGUGCAUAAACACUGACAACACAUCAAUGUUUUGUUCAUACAUUUGUACAUGUUCUUUCAGUGUUGAUAAUGUUGACAUAUUUCAUGUACAUUUACACAUGUGUUUAUUGCCAACCUCAUCAAAACAUGCAUAGUUUGCUCACAUACAUAUUUCCAAAACAGACAUUUACUGAAUGUAUUACUACUUUACCGUUGAUUUUGAUAUGUAAAUAAAAGAUUGUACUACUUGUUUGUACAAAACACUU